GUUUCUAUAGCUUAAUUUAGAGAGUAUUUCAGUGAAGUUGAAAGGGUAAUUUUAUAUUUGGGAACA
rnacentral:tRNA from 1 species